rnacentral:tRNA from 1 species
UAGCAGAGCGUGGUUCCGAUCCACGAAUCUCUAAGUUGUGGGCAUAGCACGCUAACACUGUACCACUCUGCU